GGCGGCCCGGCCGGCGGCCCGCGCGCGCAGGGCGACGUGUACGUCUGUGGGGCGGCCGCGCGCCCCGCCGCCCCGGAAGCACAACGCCGCCGCGCUUCCGGGACAAGAUGGCGCCGCCCGCUCCGCUGCUGGCAGUGAGAGGAUCCGAAGGGCUUUAUAUGGUGAAUGGGCCCCCCAGUUUCACGGAGAGUACAACAUUUCAAAGGGACUCUGGAAAAAAUUGCAAAGCUGUUGCUUUUAGCAGAGAUGGUUUCCUCUUUGCCUGGUGCAAUGGAGAUAAAGUAAAUAUUGUUAAUGUCACCAAUGCUGAGUUACUGCGUUCUUUUGAUCUUCCAAAGGCCGUUUGCCUUGAAUUCUCGCCAAAGAAUAAUGUUCUGGCAACGUGGCAAGCCUAUACAACUGCUAAAGAUGGCACAGCAGGGGUGCCCAACCUGCAACUUUAUGAUGUGAAAACUGGAAAAUGUUUGAAGUCUUUCAUCCAGAAAAAGAUGCAGAACUGGUGUCCUUGCUGGGCAGAUGAUGAAAGCAUUUGUGCCAGGAAUGUAAACAACGAAGUGCACUUCUUUGAAGACAACAACUUUAGUACUAUUGCAAAUAAACUGCAUUUGCAAAAGGUUAGCGAUUUCGUGUUAUCUCCAGGAGCACAGCCAACUAAGGUUGCUGUGUAUGUUCCGGGCAGCAAAGGUGCACCGUCAUUUGUAAGACUCUAUCAGUAUCCCAACUUUGGUGGUCCUCAGUCUGCAUUGGCCAAUAAAAGUUUCUUUAAAGCUGACAAGGUGACAAUGCUAUGGAACAAAAAAGCCACUGCUGUGCUAGUAAUAGCUAGUACAGAAGUUGAUAAAUCAGGAGCUUCAUACUAUGGAGAGCAAACUCUGCACUACAUUGCAACAAAUGGAGAAAGUGCAGUUGUGCAACUACCAAAAAACGGUCCUAUUUAUGAUGUUGUUUGGAAUCCCAAUUCUGUCGAGUUUUGUGCUGUGUAUGGUUUUAUGCCUGCCAAAGCAACAGUUUUUAAUCUGAAAUGUGACCCUGUGUUUGAUUUUGGAACUGGCCCUCGCAAUGCCGCCUACUACAGCCCCCCUGGACACAUUCUGGUACUAGCAGGAUUUGGAAAUCUCAGAGGACAGAUGGAAGUGUGGGACGUUAAAAACUACAAACUUAUUUCCAAACCAGUAGCGUCGGAUUCCACGUAUUUUGCUUGGUGUCCUGAUGGGGAACAUAUUGUAACAGCUACAUGUGCUCCCAGGCUACGAGUCGGUAAUGGUUACAAGAUAUGGCAUUACACUGGCUCUGUUUUACACAACUAUGAAGUACCAUCAAAUGAAGAAAUAUGGCAGGUUUCCUGGCAACCAUUUUUGGAUGGAGUAUUUCCUGUGAAAGCAGUAAAAUACCAGGCAGUCCCAAGUGAAUUGCCAAGUCCUGAGCCAAAACCUGCUCAAGCGUACAGACCUCCAGCCCUGAGAAACAAGCCUGUAACGAGUUCCAAGCUUCAUGAGGAUGAGCCACCUCAAAAUAUGAAACCACAGUCAGGAAGCAGUGAAAAGCCACUCUCUAAAACAGCUCUGAAAAAUCAAAGGAAACACGAAGCGAAGAAGGCUGCUAAACAGGAGGCCAAGGCUGAUACAAACCAGGAAUCUACGCAGUCCUCAGCAUCGCAGAAUGCACCACGCAAUGCUGCGCCUGUCGUGACAUCAGGAGAUCCUGAAGUAGACAAAAAGAUAAAGAAUUUAAAAAAGAAACUAAAGGCAAUUGAGCAGCUGAAAGAACAAGCAGCCGCUGGCAAACAGCUAGAGAAAAACCAGACUGAAGUUUGAGAAGCUGCGCAGAACUGCUACUGCAUCUUCCAGUAUUGCUGCCAAAGGUGAUAACCUGCCAGCGGUGGUACUCAAAGUAAGUUUGGGAGACUGCCUGCAUAGUUACCAGAUACAAGUAUCUGGCAUAGUUAAGAAUAUUUAAGUAGUGUCAGCAAGUGGUCCGUUUUCUCUCACCCUUACUAUUUCCCACCAUUUACUUAAGGAGUUACUUUGCUUAAGCAAUUUUUUUUUGAGCUUUAGUCUGUAAACAGCCUUUUUCUGUAAUUAAUGGAUAUGAUAUAGCAGUGGUUAGGGGAGACGUGUUUUGGGAAAAGUUUAUUUUUAGCUCAUUUUUCAAUAAAUGAAAUUAUCUGAGAACUAAUAUCUGUCGAUAUCAACAAAGGUCAAGUCAUAUCUAGACCUUAUAGAUAACCUUGACCAGAACAAUCACAAAGUGUUCCCUUGAGCUUGUGUUACCUGAUUUCUGGUCUUUUAAGCCUUUAGCAAAGGAGUUGGGUCCACAGGGAACAUUUGUGAAGAGAAAUUCUGAAUCUUCAGAAGAAAAAGAAAAAAGUCUUGUUCUGUAGGGAGAGGCUAAGGAGACUUACUGCUCUGUUUGUGGCAGGGCUGUUUAUACUCUGCUUAUACUGAGAAGCAGAAUGUUGGGCAUACGUUUCCUCCCAUUCAUUGGGAAGCAGUCUGUACAGACGAUAUUGGACAAGGCAAUGACAGUGCACUAUAUAAACGAGUCGGAGCUUGACAUUCCCAGUUAGGCUUGGGGCAGUAAGAGAACUAAUGUACAUAUUCUUCUACGACUUGACAAGAUACCUGUGCCAGCUAAACUACAGGCACGCUCAGCUGGGAUCUGUACAGCUCAGAGACUCUUCUUACAAACUGUUUUGCCACUGUUAUGUAUCAGAUAAUAAUGCGAGAUCUACAUUAAACUACUCAGAGCAGUUAUGUGUUGAUACCGUAGUCUGUUUCGGGUACUGCUGUCAAAGGGGCAGCCUGCCCUGGAGUAGGCUCUGAGCAUCCAGCGAGGUGUCUGAGUUGGGUGUCGUGCAUGAGAAUACAGACAGGACAGAGCAGCACUCUGGGGAAAGGGACGCUACUGCGUGAUGUGGAGAGGGGACACUGGUUGUACCUCUUAGUCCUCUUUACAGCGUGUUAUUAACAAGAGACAUGGGCAGACCGCAACGGUACGGCUCUCGGUUUUCCUGGUCUCUGGUGCUGGACUAUGUGCUCGCCCCAAAGCAACAUACCCGUUAGGACCAUGCAUAGCGAAGAACCUGUUACAACAGAAAUACCUGGACGACAAACGUGUUGCGUGUGGUAGCCUUUCCUGUCUACUGCUGUCCUGGUUGCAUGCCACCUUUAACAGAAAGGGAGGUGCCAGCGGGGCUACGCAGACAGAGCAUGGCCGUGCUUGCCUAUUUCGUCAUCUGACACAGUUUCUUGUGAUUUACGCUGGAGAAGAUUCAGAAAGAAACUGCUCUCCUUCAAGAGCUGGAAGAUCUAGAACUGGGUCUCUAAAGCUUCAUGUAAAUCCAGUGGGGCUUUAACACAAAAUUCAUGCAAAAUAUAAUGUGUAUUAACUUGAACACAAUAAAAUGUUUCAGCAAAUGA